AGGANUCGCAUGGAGAAGUCUGACGGAGCAACGCCGCGUGAACGAUGAAGGCUUUCGGGUCGUAAAGUUCUGUUGUCAGGGAAGAACAAGUACCGGAGUAACUGCCGGUACCUUGACGGUACCUGACCAGAAAGCCACGGCUAACUACGUGCCAGCAGCCGCGGUAAUACGUAGGUGGCAAGCGUUGUCCGGAAUUAUUGGGCGUAAAGCGCGCGCAGGCGGUUCCUUAAGUCUGAUGUGAAAGCCCCCGGCUCAACCGGGGAGGGUCAUUGGAAACUGGGGAACUUGAGUGCAGAAGAGGAGAGCGGAAUUCCACGUGUAGCGGUGAAAUGCGUAGAGAUGUGGAGGAACACCAGUGGCGAAGGCGGCUCUCUGGUCUGUAACUGACGCUGAGGCGCGAAAGCGUGGGGAGCGAACAGGAUUAGAUACCCUGUAGGUCCACGCAA
rnacentral:rRNA from 1 species